GCGUGUGCUGCAAACCCCCCCUCCCAUCAUUGACAUCUAGGGUUCACCAGGAUGUGUCCCACUCUGCGAACCAGCAGCCCAAGGAAGACAAAGCUUCAGAGCCUGCGGUCAUCUGUGGAAUGAAUGACGCCUGCAGAAGAAACCCUAAUACCUCAGUUCUGUAGACAGGAGGCUGAAGUUCCAAGCAGUUCAAGGCCUUGGCCAACCUGGCAGAGCUGGACAAAGAAAAGGCACAACUCUCUGGACCCAUGAUCUCUGGAUUCUGAAACAUCAGCGUGUGUGGGGAUGGAGGUCACUGUCAUGACAGGGGUAGCCUCUGGGCAGACAGGGCUCAGCAUCCGGAGCUCCAUGAAGUUUCUGGGACUGGAGUAUCCCCCAACCUCUACCAUAAACCCCUGGAUGGUAGGAAGUGUGAGCCCUGGGGGAUAAACAACGCUUACACAGGAGUUCCUCAACCUCACAUCUCCCUAUAAGACGCCCUGAGCUGUGCAUGGGGGAGGAAGAGGAGCCACCAUCCCAGGAAUGAGCCUCACACGGGCGGCGUCCUAGCCAGAGGGGUUUGCAGAUGAAGAAAGAGGUCAAGAGCUGCUGUGGUUCAUGGGGGAGGAGCUGGGCCUACUGCCCACACAGCUGGGCCCCUAGUCAGAGAAGCCAGGAUCCCAGACCCACCGGCCCUCCCCGUUCAGAGGAGGGGCUUGAACAUCUUUCUCCACCUUACAUCCCCGUGGCCAGAGUCUGAAGUCCUUCUUCACAGAUGUGCUGGACAAGACCGCACAUGGAGGCUGCCCAGAGAGCCUUUCAAGGCUGAGUGCGAAGGCAGGCUGCACUGCAAGCCAGGGCCGGGGGAUACAAGCGGGAGAUGGGCUUGGGUGGGGAGACUUGCCAGCACCUCCAAGGUAUGCAACACCCACCCCACUGCUCAGAAACAGACUGAGAUUAAACAAAUGGAUCAUUAAGAG
ensembl:lncRNA